rfam:Brachypodium distachyon strain Bd21 chromosome 2, whole genome shotgun sequence.
AUCUUACUCCCUCCGUCCAACAAAGGAUGUCUCAACUUUGACCAAAUUUGAAUGCAUGUAUACACUAAGUUAUGUCUAGAUACAUUCAAAUUUUGACAAACUUGAGACAUUUUUUGUUGGACGGAGAGAGUAUAUC